AAUGGAAUGCCUGAUUAAAGGAUUAUCUCGAUAGGAUGAAUAAAGUAAUAUAUUACUUCCAUUA
rnacentral:tRNA from 1 species